rnacentral:rRNA from 1 species
UACGUAGGGUGCGAGCGUUAAUCGGAAUUACUGGGCGUAAAGCGUGCGCAGGCGGUUUUGUAAGCCAGAUGUGAAAUCCCCGGGCUCAACCUGGGAAUGGCAUUUGGGACUGCAAGGCUUGAGUGCGGCAGAGGAGACUGGAAUUCCUGGUGUAGCAGUGAAAUGCGUAGAUAUCAGGAGGAAUACCGAUGGCGAAGGCAGGUCUCUGGGCUGACACUGACGCUCAUGCAUGAAAGCGUGGGGAGCAAACAGG